rnacentral:lncRNA from 1 species
AUAUAAUUAAGACCUCAAAUACAGAAACACUUUUAUUUGAGUAGAAAAAAAAAGUUUUAAAAUAGGUAUGUAGGAGAAAUGGAAUUUAUUUUCAGGGUCAGUCUUAAUAAAACAUAUUACAUAUAUUCCUGGAUCCUGCUUUCUCUGAAGUUCAUAUCACUAAAGAUUUCUGCUUGGUGCAGCUGAAGCAUCCCUUCUUUCUAGCUCUGCUGUCUUUUAGGGUUUGUAGGAACUCUGUUUUUACUAUAAGAGAAAAUUAAGAACCAAGUAUGUUUUCACCAGUUUGAUUUGGCAAAUGAAUUUACUUUUACCCGCUGUGUAUAAGCACUAGUUGCAUUUUGAUAUCAAGAGUAGUUCCGAUAGGGCAGCCCGCUCUCCAAGUGCAUCUUUGUGGUUUCAUUGGCCACAACAUCUCUCAUUUUCUCACAGGGGAUGAGGCAAGAGAUUCCUUCUGCCUCACUUUGAGGGAACAGUUAAACACCUUCUGGCAACAAGAAGUUCAAAAUUUUGAGGCUCAGUUGAGAUCAUCUGCUCCUACAAAAUGUGUUCCUCAGGGUUUAUGUCAGUCUUUAUCCAGGUGCACAUCAUGGUGUGCCAGGACGCUCUUUCCAGUUUGGUCCAGCAGAGAGAACAGCUCUCACCUCCUUCAGGGUCACCUGAGGAACUGUCCUCCUAUGCUGAGUGCCCAUGGGUCACAAUGGUGCAGGAUUUGUCUCCUUACAACACUCUUUCUCUUGUUUUAGGUGUGAGGUAAUGUCUGGGCAAAAGCAUGCCAUGGAUCUAAUGCAAAAGACUUUAAAGUCCAUGGUCAGGAAUGGAGAAGGAAACAGAAUUCGAACAGCCCAGUGUGGAAAGCAGCUGUGUCGUGGAGGACUGGAUGGGAUGUCUGUGCCAAUGCAGGAGAGGACUGUGACCAGGACACUGUCCCCAGGCAUCUCUGCCUCGGCAGAUGGCCAGGUAAUUGGUCUGAGAAGGAUGGAGGGAAUGCCCGUGAGACCACACCAGAUAAGAACAUCAGGGAAGGUGACAACCGUACGUCCGUCUCCAAACUGAGAAGAUAUAGUGUCAUGUUCUUCACUGCACUGUAAGCAGUUAAUAGAAUAAGAACAAAUUAAAUGGGAAUCCAGUAAGACUUGGAAGGCACAUCCGUUUUUUUAUGCUAACAAAUAAUCUUGCUGCUACUUUCACAGAGCCACAGAGAAUGGCUGUGGUUGGAGACUGCCUGCUCUCAUGGAGAAAAUGUUCACUCUCACACAGGCUGAGGUCUGAGUAUCUCCACAGCCUCUCUGGACAGCCUACCCAGUGCCAAAUAUUCAACAAACCUUCUCACUUAAGAUGCAAAAAGCAAUCUUGAUUUAAAACAAACACAUAAAUCUCCAUUUUUUCUGGUUUCCUCAUGCUGUUAUUCCCACUGUGUAAUCUGAGCAUAAAGGAAAGACCGCUGCUGAACUUUUUGAAGCCUUCAUUUAGCAUCUGUAUGAAAAACAUUAAAAGAAAUAAUACGAACAAGUUGAAUGUAUAUAAGAAGUCUUAGAAGAUUGUAUCACAGAUAAGGAAAAUGCUUAGAAUUUUCUUUUUGUAUGUGUAAUGCCUUUGCAACCUACUCGCAGCAUUGUUCCCUGCAUGAGGGCCCCCUAAUUAUUUCAUCAUGCAGCAGGAAAUUCUGGUAGGUUAUAUAUAAACAGCCCGAGGCAGGGACCUCUUCAUCAGUUAGAGCGUGACAUCUGACAUGUGUGCAGCCUGCUGCUUGCAUGGCACCAUCACCCCGGCAGCCCGAGCGAGGAGGAAUGCGGGAGCAAUUGGGAGCACGGGGAUAACUGGAGGUGCCAAACUGUUCCUCUAAUCCAAGGCUAAAACUUCAUCUCUUCCCUUUCUGGCGGCCACAUCCCACCUCUCUGCAGCAGCAGGCGUGGUGACAGUGCGCCAGCAGCCGUGACAAGGGCUGGGUUCCCAGCCCUGUGCC